GAUGAAGAACGUAGCGAAAUGCGAUAAGUAGUGUGAAUUGCAGAAUUCAGUGAAUCAUCGAAUCUUCGAACGCACAUUGCGCCCUUUGGUAUUCCUUAGGGCAUGCCUGUUCGAGCGUCAUUUAAACCUUCAAGCUCAGCUUGGUGAUGGGUGACUGUCCUCCCCUCGCGGGGGGACUCGCCUCAAAAACAUUGGCGGCCGGUACAUUGGCUUCGAGCGCAGCAGAAACGCGGUCUCGAGUCCGGUGGAUCGGCUCCCAUAAGUCUAUUCUUUUAUUUUGACCUCGGAUCAGGUAGGGAUACCCGCUGAACUUAAGCAUAUCAAUAAGCGGAGGA
rnacentral:misc_RNA from 1 species